UCCGUAGGCGGUUUAGUAAGUCAGUGGUGAAAGCCCAUCGCUCAACGGUGGAACGGCCAUUGAUACUGCUAGACUUGAAUUAUUAGGAAGUAACUAGAAUAUGUAGUGUAGCGGUGAAAUGCUUAGAGAUUACAUGGAAUACCAAUUGCGAAGGCAGGUUACUACUAAUUGAUCGACGCUGAUGGACGAAAGCGUGGGGAGCGAACA
rnacentral:rRNA from 1 species